CACGGGGCCAGCCCCAAGUCAGGAGGCUCACACCUGGAUAAAAGAUAUGUAGGUGGCAAGGUGAAACUGUUAUGGAAAUUGAGCCAGAUGAGCUAUAGCGUAGAAGAAAAAAAUGGAUUUUGGAUCAGUGGGACCUGUUCACAAAUUCAAGUUCCAUUAUGACUAGCUGUCUGAUCUUGAGACACAGCAUCUAUAAGGAAUGAUAACUGUUAGACUUCUACUCUUCAGUUCCAGCAACUUGCAGAGCCAACUGUAAUACAAAUACUGAGUGCAGUCUCUCAGAAGCAGCAAAGAAGAGGGGGAGGUUACAAGAACCCCAUGAAAAGUGGCACUGUGACUGAGAAACACCUGCUGACAGAAUUCCAGUUGGUUCACUUAAAAAACGUUUCUUGCAUAUCCCUAUUUUUAGUUACCGUUCUUUAUUUUUCACAGGCUCUAACACAUGAUGAUUAUUCUUGCCUAUAAAUCUGCGAUAUUUUCAACUUGGACUUAUGACAAAUAUUUCGAGACACUGGCUUUACUCUGCCUUCUCCAUGACUGAAAAUUUUAGAG
rnacentral:lncRNA from 1 species